UAUUAUAUAUUAUAUUUAAUAGAAGUUGUAAAUGUUUUUCUUAAUCAUAUAACAGAUCAAAAUUUCAGCUCUGCAAAAGUUAUUUGUGAUUUUCUGUGAAAUUCCAUGGCCUAACUAGUAUUUCUGCCCUUAAUUGUGAAACAACUAACCUUGCAUAACUAUGUUGUGUUAUUGUUUAAUGAGUGGAAUAUGGCAGUGCAGUUAUAGUAAAUACAUAGGCACAUACUAAUCUCAGAAAUGAAAAACAUGAGAGGUGCCAUUUUCAUAUAUUCUGUAAUGCCCAUGAUGCAUGUCUAUAGGCAAUGGAAAAAGCUUUUAAAGAGCAUCAGAUUAUUGCCAUUCUAAGUUACAUAAAAAAAAUAUAUAUAUAGGUUUCAGAGGCCUGCACAAUAUCAAACCACAGGAUGUCGCAAUUGGCAAGCCAAUGCCAAGCCAAGCCCCCUUCAGCCACCGGCGCACGCCAAGCUAUACCAAAAGGGGUGCUAAAGCCAAGCUAUAUAUAAGCAAAAUAUAAAUAAUGUAUUCAGUUCAUAUUGAGAUGAGCCUGGAUCUAAUGAAAAAAAUACUAUCACCAUAUUUGUUGUUUUCACUGCCAAAUAUAGUCUCUGAAUCGGUGAAUAGAAAUAAAAAUACUUUUUAAAUUAAAAAAA